AACGAACGCUGGCGGCAUGCCUAAUACAUGCAAGUCAAACGAGUGCCUUUGGGUGCUAGUGGCGCACGGGUGCGUAACGCGUGGGAAUCUGCCCUUGGGUUCGGAAUAACUUCGGGAAACUGAAGCUAAUACCGGAUGAUGUCGAUAAGACCAAAGAUUUAUCGCCCAGGGAUGAGCCCGCGUAGGAUUAGCUAGUUGGUGGGGUAAAGGCCUACCAAGGCGACGAUCCUUAGCUGGUCUGAGAGGAUGAUCAGCCACACUGGGACUGAGACACGGCCCAGACUCCUACGGGAGGCAGCAGUAGGGAAUAUUGGACAAUGGGCGAAAGCCUGAUCCAGCAAUGCCGCGUGAGUGAUGAAGGCCUUAGGGUUGUAAAGCUCUUUUACCCGGGAUGAUAAUGACAGUACCGGGAGAAUAAGCUCCGGCUAACUCCGUGCCAGCAGCCGCCGUAA
rnacentral:rRNA from 1 species